rnacentral:misc_RNA from 1 species
AGCAGCCGCGGUAAUUCCAGCUCCAAUAGCGUAUAUUAAAGUUGUUGCAGUUAAAAGCUCGUAGUUGAAUUUCGGGGUUAGCAGGUCGGUCGUGCCAUCGGUAUGAACUGGUCUCGCUGAUCCCUCCCUCUUGACGAACUGUGAUGCCAUUAAUUUGGUGUCGCAGGGAAUCAGGACUGUUACUUUGAAAAAAUUAGAGUGUUUAAAGCAGGCUCACGCUUGAAUACAUUAGCAUGGAAUAAUGAAAUAGGACGUUUGAUCCUAUUUUGUUGGCUUCUAGGAUUGACGUAAUGAUUAAUAGGGAUAGUUGGGGGCAUUAGUAUUCAAUUGUCAGAGGUGAAAUUCUUGGAUUUAUUGAAGACUAACUACUGCGAAAGCAUUUGCCAAAGGAUGUUUUCAUUAAUCAAGAACGAAAGUUAGGGGAUCGAAGACGAUCAGAUACCGUCGUAGUCUUAACCAUAAACUAUGCCGACUAGGGAUCGGAUGAUGUUAAUUUUUUAAUGACUCAUUCGGCGCCUUA